AAAGCCUGAUGCAGCAACGCCGCCUGAGGGACGACGGCCUUCGGGUUGUAAACCUCUUUUAGCAGGGAAGAAGCGAAAGUGACGGUACCUGCAGAAAAAGCGCCGGCUAACUACGUGCCAGCAGCCGCGGUAAUACGUAGGGCGCAAGCGUUAUCCGGAAUUAUUGGGCGUAAAGAGCUCGUAGGCGGUUUGUCGCGUCUGCUGUGAAAUCCCGAGGCUCAACCUCGGGUCUGCAGUGGGUACGGGCAGACUAGAGUGCGGUAGGGGAGAUUGGAAUUCCUGGUGUAGCGGUGGAAUGCGCAGAUAUCAGGAGGAACACCGAUGGCGAAGGCAGAUCUCUGGGCCGUAACUGACGCUGAGGAGCGAAAGGGUGGGGAGCAAACAGGCUUAGAUACCCUGGUAGUCCACCCCGUAAACGUUGGGAACUAGUUGUGGGGUCCAUUCCACGGAUUCCGUGACGCAGCUAACGCAUUAAGUUCCCCGCCUGGGGAGUACGGCCGCAAGGCUAAAACUCAAAGGAAUUGACGGGGACCCGCACAAGCGGCGGAGCAUGCGGAUUAAUUCGAUGCAACGCGAAGAACCUUACCAAGGCUUGACAUAUACGAGAACGGGCCAGAAAUGGUCAACUCUUUGGACACUCGUAAACAGGUGGUGCAUGGUUGUCGUCAGCUCGUGUCGUGAGAUGUUGGGUUAAGUCCCGCAACGAGCGCAACCCUCGUUCUAUGUUGCCAGCACGUAAUGGUGGGAACUCAUGGGAUACUGCCGGGGUCAACUCGGAGGAAGGUGGGGAUGACGUCAAAUCAUCAUGCCCCUUAUGUCUUGGGCUUCACGCAUGCUACAAUGGCCGGUACAAAGGGCUGCAAUACCGUAAGGUGGAGCGAAUCCCAAAAAGCCGGUCCCAGUUCGGAUUGAGGUCUGCAACUCGACCUCAUGAAGUCGGAGUCGCUAGUAAUCGCAGAUCAGCAACGCUGCGGUGAAUACGUUCCCGGGUCUUGUACACACCGCCCGUCAAGUCAUGAAAGUCGGUAACACCUGAAGCCGGUGGCCCAACCC
rnacentral:rRNA from 1 species